rnacentral:snoRNA from 1 species
GGUCAUUUCAUGAUGAUACACAACCAAUGCAUAGUUCAUCUGAGACCUGAUGACAAACUAUACCUUCAAUUCUUUCGCUCCCAUCUGAUAAUCAAG